UCGGACCGGCGCACGGUGGCGUAACGCGUAUGCAACCUACCUUUAACUAGGGGAGUAACACUGAGAAAUUAGGUACUAAUAACCCCAUAAUAUCAUAGAAGGCAUCUUUUAUGGUUGAAAAUUCCGAUGGUUAGAGAUGGGCAUGCGUUGUAUUAGCUAGUUGGUGGGGUAACGGCUCACCAAGGCGACGAUACAUAGGGGGACUGAGAGGAAGGUCCCCCACAUUGGAACUGAGACACGGUCCAA
rnacentral:rRNA from 1 species